UUUAGGUUGUUCUGUAAAAGGGUUGGAUCCGACGCCCAUAGGAGGCUACUAUAGGCUCUCCUUCUCAAUUCCUACUCAAUACGUCCACGACGUGCAGAACGGUAACUUGUCGCCUAGAUAUCCAAGCUUAGGUACACGGGGAAAUCCACCCCCUUGGGCGGAUAGGCGGCAAGGCUGAAUUGAGAGGG
rnacentral:ribozyme from 1 species